rnacentral:piRNA from 1 species
UCCUACCAAACAGAGAUGGAUAACAGUC